rnacentral:tRNA from 1 species
GCGCUUUUAACUCAGUUGGAUAGAGUAAUUACCUUCUAAGUAAUAAGCCGUUGGUUCAAAUCCAACAAAGCGCGCCA